AAUAUGUCACAAUGGGGGAAACCCUGAUGCAGCGACUCCGCGAGAGUGAAGAAGUCUUUCGGUAUUUAAAGCUCUAUCAGCAGGGAAGAAAAUGCCCGUCCCGGACUAAGAAGCCCCGGCUACCUACGCGCCAGCAGCCGCGGUAAUACGUAGGGGGCAAGCGUUAUCCGGAUUUACUGGGUGUAAAGGGAGCGUAGGUGGUUCGGCAAGUCAGAUGUGAAAGCCCGGGGCUCAACCUCGGGACUGCAUUUGAAACUGUCGUACUAGAGUGCAGGAGAGGUAAGUGGAAUUCCUAGUGUAGCGGUGAAAUGCGUAGAUAUUAGGAGGAACACCAGUGGCGAAGGCGGCUUACUGGACUGUAACUGACACUGAGGCUCGAAAGCGUGGGGAGCAAACAGG
rnacentral:rRNA from 1 species